AGGGAUGUAGCGCAGCUUGGUAGCGCCUUUUUUUUUUGGUAAAAAAUAUCACGGGUUCCAAUCCUGUCAUCCCUA
rnacentral:tRNA from 1 species